rnacentral:miRNA from 1 species
AUGGAAUUUGAUAAAUAAACAC